rnacentral:rRNA from 1 species
GAGUUUGAUCCUGGCUCAGAUUGAACGCUGGCGGCAUGCCUUACACAUGCAAGUCGAACGGUAACGCGGGGCAACCUGGCGACGAGUGGCGAACGGGUGAGUAAUAUAUCGGAACGUGCCCAGUUGUGGGGGAUAACUACUCGAAAGAGUGGCUAAUACCGCAUGAGACCUGAGGGUGAAAGCGGGGGACUCGCAAGAGCCUCGCGCAGUUGGAGCGGCCGAUAUCAGAUUAGCUAGUUGGCGGGGUAAAAGCCCACCAAGGCAACGAUCUGUAGCUGGUCUGAGAGGACGACCAGCCACACUGGGACUGAGACACGGCCCAGACUCCUACGGGAGGCAGCAGUGGGGAAUUUUGGACAAUGGACGCAAGUCUGAUCCAGCCAUGCCGCGUGCGGGAAGAAGGCCUUCGGGUUGUAAGCCGCUUUUGUCAGGGAAGAAACGGCUCGGGUUAAUACCUUGGGCUAAUGACGGUACCUGAAGAAUAAGCACCGGCUAACUACGUGCCAGCAGCCGCGGUAAUACGUAGGGUGCAAGCGUUAAUCGGAAUUACUGGGCGUAAAGCGUGCGCAGGCGGUUAUGCAAGACAGAUGUGAAAUCCCCGGGCUCAACCUGGGAACUGCAUUUGUGACUGCAUGGCUAGAGUACGGUAGAGGGGGAUGGAAUUCCGCGUGUAGCAGUGAAAUGCGUAGAUAUGCGGAGGAACACCGAUGGCGAAGGCAAUCCCCUGGACCUGUACUGACGCUCAUGCACGAAAGCGGUGGGGGAGCAAACAGGAUUAGAUACCCUGNAGUCCACGCCCUAAACGAUGUCAACUGGNUGUGGGAGGNUUCUUCUCAGUAACGAAGCUAACNNCGGUGAAGUGACCGCCUGGGGAGUACG